GAGGCAGGAAGCACGACUAGAUUAACCUGUGCGAGCAGCGGUAAGCUCAGUAGGGUGCAUGCAGCAUUCAGUAAAUAUUAGUGGAAGUAAAGCGCAGGCGGGUGGGUCAAUAAGUCAGAUAAUGACAUCUGCGCCAUCAACCGUGGCACCUCCAUCUGAUGCCGACAAGCAUGAGUCUCGUAGAGGGGGGGUAGAACUGCAGGAGUAGCGAAGAAAUGAGUAGAGAUGUGGAGGAAUACCGGUGGAGAAGGCGCCCCCUUGGACGAAGACUGACGCUCAGGUGCGAAAGCGUGGGGAGCAAACAGGAUUAGAUACCCUGGUAGUCCACGCCGUAAACGAUGUCGACUUGGAGGUUGUGCCCUUGAGGCGUGGCUUCCGGAGCUAACGCGUUAAGUCGACCGCCUGGGGAGUACGGCCGCAAGGUUAAAACUCAAAUGAAUUGACGGGGGCCCGCACAAGCGGUGGAGCAUGUGGUUUAAUUCGAUGCAACGCGAAGAACCUUACCUGGUCUUGACAUCCACAGAAGUUUUCAGAGAUGGAUUGGUGCCUUCGGGAACUGUGAGACAGGUGCUGCAUGGCUGUCGUCAGCUCGUGUUGUGAAAUGUUGGGUUAAGUCCCGCAACGAGCGCAACCCUUAUCCUUUGUUGCCAGCGGUCCGGCCGGGAACUCAAAGGAGACUGCCAGUGAUAAACUGGAGGAAGGUGGGGAUGACGUCAAGUCAUCAUGGCCCUUACGACCAGGGCUACACACGUGCUACAAUGGCGCAUACAAAGAGAAGCGACCUCGCGAGAGCAAGCGGACCUCAUAAAGUGCGUCGUAGUCCGGAUUGGAGUCUGCAACUCGACUCCAUGAAGUCGGAAUCGCUAGUAAUCGUGGAUCAGAAUGCCACGGUGAAUACGUUCCCGGGCCUUGUACACACCGCCCGUCACACCAUGGGAGUGGGUUGCAAAAGAAGUAGGUAGCUUAACCUUCGGGAGGGCGCUACCACUUGAUCAACGGC
rnacentral:rRNA from 1 species